UACGAGGGGAGCUAGCGUUGUUCGGAAUUACUGGGCGUAAAGGGCGUGUAGGCGGUACCAUAAGUCAGAUGUGAAAGCCCUAGGCUUAACCUAGGAGGUGCAUUUGAUACUGUGGAACUAGAGAUCGAGAGAGGUAAGUGGAAUUACGAGUGUAGAGGUGAAAUUCGUAGAUAUUCGUAAGAACACCAGUGGCGAAGGCGGCUCACUGGUCCAUUACUGACGCUGAGGUGCGAAAGCGUGGGGAGCAAACAGG
rnacentral:rRNA from 1 species